rnacentral:rRNA from 1 species
UACGUAGGGUGCAAGCGUUAAUCGGAAUUACUGGGCGUAAAGCGUGCGCAGGCGGUUUUGUAAGUUUGUCGUGAAAGCCCCGGGCUCAACCUGGGAAUUGCGAUGAAGACUGCAAGGCUUGAAUCUGGCAGAGGGGGGUGGAAUUCCACGGUGUAGCAGUGAAAUGCGUAGAUAUGUGGAGGAACACCGAUGGCGAAGGCAGCCCCCUGGGUCAAGACU